AUUGAACGCUGGCGGCAUGCCUUACACAUGCAAGUCGAACGGCAGCGCGGGAGCAAUCCUGGCGGCGAGUGGCGAACGGGUGAGUAAUACAUCGGAACGUGCCCAAUCGUGGGGGAUAACGCAGCGAAAGCUGUGCUAAUACCGCAUACGAUCUACGGAUGAAAGCAGGGGAUCGCAAGACCUUGCGCGAAUGGAGCGGCCGAUGGCAGAUUAGGUAGUUGGUGAGGUAAAGGCUCACCAAGCCUUCGAUCUGUAGCUGGUCUGAGAGGACGACCAGCCACACUGGGACUGAGACACGGCCCAGACUCCUACGGGAGGCAGCAGUGGGGAAUUUUGGACAAUGGGCGAAAGCCUGAUCCAGCCAUGCGCGUGCAGGAUGAAGGCC
rnacentral:rRNA from 1 species